rnacentral:sRNA from 1 species
UAGACGAGAGAAAGGUGUUGUAGACGAGAAAGGUGUUGUAGGCGAAAGAAAGGUGUUGUAGGCGAAAGAAAGGUGUUGUAGACGAGAGAAAGGUGUAGGCGAAAGAAAGGUUUUGUGGACGAGAGAAAGGUUUUGUGGACGAGAGAAAGGUUUUGUGGACGAGAGAAAGGUGAUGUGGACGAGAGAAAGGUGUUGUGGACGAGAGAAAGGUGUUGUAGACGAAAGAAAGGUGUUGUAUGCGAGAGAAAGGUGUUGUAGGCGAAAGAAAGGUGUUGUAGGCGAGAGAAAGGUGUUGUAGAAAGGUGUAGGCGAAACAAAGGUGUAGACGACAGAAAGGUAUUGUGGGCGAAAGAAAGGUGUUGUAGACGAGAGAAAGGUGUUGUAGACGAGAGAAAGGGGUUGUAGACGAAAGAAAGGUGUUGUAGACGAGAGAAAGGUGUUGUAGGCGAGAGAAAGGUGUAGGCGAAAGAAAGGUGUUGUAGGCGAGAGAAAGGUGUUGUAGACGAGAGAAAGGUGUUGUUGACGAGAGAAAGGUGUUGUAGGCGAGAGAAAGGUGUUGUAGACGAGAGAAAGGUGUUGUUGACGAGAGAAAGGUGUUGUAGACGUCAGUAGAAAGAAUUUGAAGCUCAGAAACCUACAUUAUAUUUACGACUGUACUGAGAGGAAAGAAUGAAAGUACUAGUUUACUUCUUGAUUGUGAUAUUUCCUAGCGGCACCUUGCCGUCGUAGUAGCAAAACAAAUUUGAGGAUAGAGCGUGCAGGAAUAAUAGCAUAUACCAGAACCGAUCAAAUCUUUUUUUUUUAAACAUUCUAGCACUUGAUUUUCUUUGUGUCUAACACUAGCGGCACACCAACAUGUCAAACACACGUCUGUAGGGACAUCAUCACUUAUAGUCUCGUGAGUGCAGCUGUCAUGGAGAUAGAAUAAAGCGGUUAAAGAAAGAACAAAUAGAAUCAUAUGGGUUGAUGUCUUGAUGAUGCUAGGUCGUUGACGAGAAUCUUUGUGCUGAGUGCCUGUGAUGUUUUGAGUCAGCCGAAUGUGACAUAAGCUUCAGUCUGUGCAGACGAUCAAAAUAAUCUCGCCUGGAGUUCGCUUCCUUGACGCUACUUAUUGAGACGUUCAUUAUGGCCAGGAGAAAAAAUAGUUCAUGUUGCAUGCAAUCGUUAUAGCCUAAAUAAAGCGCAUUUUCACACUUGUAGGUCUCCCUCAAUAACUCAACUAAGCACGGGAUGGGAUUUAACAGACACUAAAUACAGGAGCAUAGCUGGCGUGGAAAGGGGGAGUUGGAAUGAUGGCCUUUAUUACCUCUUUUUUUUUUUUAAUGCGCUGCUGAAACCUUAUUUCGGAUUUUCAAAAUGACCAUUUGACUUCAUCCAAUUUGAUGAGUGCUACUAUAGGCUAGGUUGAAAGAAGACAUUGACCAACUCACUGUAUGUAGUCCUAGUGUUCAGUGAGCUUUAGUCUGGACUGUUGAAAUGAUGACAAAACCAAAGAUGUCAAUAACGUAUUUUAAUGCUCCAUCAAAAGUGAUCCUCCGUAAACCUCGACACCCCACACACACACACAUUUUCACCCACGCACUCUUCAUUUUGUUUCUUUACAUGUAUACACCUUAGGCAUCAUUUCACCUGCAUUGCUGUGACGUCAGUUUAACCUGCUCCCUGAUUUCAUUUAAGAUAAACGAUUAUUUUUAACGUCUUCUGCCUUGAUAACUUUUUUUUGUUUCGUUUCGCGGAGAUAUCAGUUUUUGUUUUGUUUACUUAGAGGUACAUUGUUGAAAGUAGGUUUGAGACACCUGAAUAGACUGAGAGCCUGAGAAUAGUCUUCUCCCUGAAUAGACUGAGAGCCUGAGAAUUGUCUUCUCCUGCCUGUGGACUAAGUCCACUCACCUAGUGCCAGUUAGCACCCGUCUUCUCAACAGAGUAUCAGUCUCGUGAAAUAGCACUGCUUUAAAUAACUUUUCUACUAAUUGUAAACACAAAAAUGUUGGUGUUCAACUCUAGACAUACAAACGCUUUAUUUCAAUUAAUUUUGUCCUAUUGUCUUACAAGUCUUGGCUUAAAUCCUGGCCCAUCACUUCAUGUUACCUUGUCAUCUAGGGACUCGUAGGAUUCUAAAUUGACCCUCUAGUUUUUCAAAGUGACCUUAAACAGAACAUUUUAAGAGCCCUUAUAUAGACCCAUAGAAUUUUAAAGUGACCAUAUACCUAUAAGUAGGACUUAUACAAAAGUGACCUCAUACAGACACAUAGGACUUUCAAAAAUGGCAUUGUCCAUACAAAUAGGACAUUAGAGGGACACCAGGAUACAGACACAUGACUUGAAAGUGACCUCUUACAGAGACAUAUGACCUUUUACAGACAUAUUGGACUUAAACAGGUAUAUAGCAUUCUUAAAGGCCCUUAUGAAACUGAUUUCAAAGUGACCAAAUAUAUACGAGAAGAAAAACAUUUUAAAAAUUAUUUAAAAAAAAAAA